UAGAGCGGGACAAAACUUACGGUGCGAAACGACGCGUCAUGGCAAUACCGGACGGAGGAGUGUGGUACCUACGCGGUGAUGAAGAUUCUCGCCGCGCUGCCGCCGCAGAUUGAUGGCGAACGAAUCGAAUCCACCAACGACGAGGCUGGUCACAGGUGCGACAGUAAUAUUUUAUUAUAAUAUGUAUUUAUUAUUUUCACAUAAAUUUUGCUGUUGUAUUAUUUAAUCUAUAUGAGUGAUAAUAUGAAAUGAAACAUUGGUAUAAUGUAUAAUUAUGUACCUACUCUAAAGACGUUUUAUGACAUUGACGCACUUAUUUAUAGUAAUUGUUAUUACAAAUAAAAUUUGUUUGACUUA